GAAGCGGCAACAGCUCAAAUUUGAAAUCCGACUCCUUUGGGGGUCCGAGUUGUAAUUUGUAGAGGGUGUUUCGGGCGCGGUGCCGGUUUAAGUCCUUUGGAACAGGGUGUCGUAGAGGGUGAGAACCCCGUAUGCGACCGGCCACUAAACCUAUGUGAAACCCCUUCGACGAGUCGAGUUGUUUGGGAAUGCAGCUCAAAAUGGGUGGUAAAUUUCAUCUAAAGCUAAAUACUGGCCAGAGACCGAUAGCGCACAAGUAGAGUGAUCGAAAGAUGAAAAGCACUUUGGAAAGAGAGUCAAACAGCACGUGAAAUUGUUGAAAGGGAAGCGCUUGCGACCAGACCUGAUCGCGGGUGAUCAGCGGUGCUUUUCGCGCCGUGCACUCCUCCGCGAUCAGGCCAGCAUCGGUUCAGGCGGCCGCACAAAGACUUGGAGAAUGUAUCUCCCUUCGGGGAGUGUUAUAGCUCCUUGUGCAAUACGGCCAGCCGGGACCGAGGACCGCGCU
rnacentral:rRNA from 1 species